GCCCUGUCUUUUUCCAACAUCGCCCAUGUUCAGGCCUGCUUCUGUUCCACGCUUCUCUACAGCUGGAGAGGCUGAGGGAGGGAGAUGUCAUCUACAGAGGAAGCCACUGGCGGAUAAUCCAUGAGACAUCCUCUUUUUCUUCAAAGAGCCACAUACACUCUCUCUCAGCUGACCUUGUUCUGCAGCUCACACACAAUUUACAUGACGGAAAUCAAAAAGUGCUUAAAGCAUUGCCAGAAAGAGUCACUACUUUUGUGCCAGGAAACUCGCAUUGACAUCUCUGUGCAUAAGCCCGAAAGCCGGGACUCAGAAGGGCUCCGACCACCAGCCCCUUUGCUACACAACAGCCGAGCGAUGGUGGCUGUAACACCGAGCGGAUCUGCACAGGACCUUGCAUCCCAAGUGCAGAUCACUCUGCGUCGCUGGCUCACGUGGCAGGUGGGCCAGCCUUCCCUAGACACCCACGCAUGCUGUGAGAUGGACCUCCCCACACAUGACGCUGAAAGCGAAGCAUUAAUUUUAAGGUACCAGAAUAUUUAGGUUCCAGAACA